rnacentral:rRNA from 1 species
CCUACGGGGCGCUGCAGUGAGGAAUAUUGGUCAAUGGUCGGGAGACUGAACCAGCCAAGCCGCGUGAGGGAUGAAGGUACAGAGUAUCGUAAACCUCUUUUGUCAGGGAACAAAGGCGGGGACGUGUCCCCGGCUGAGUGUACCUGAAGAAAAAGCAUCGGCUAACUCCGUGCCAGCAGCCGCGGUAAUACGGAGGAUGCGAGCGUUAUCCGGAUUUAUUGGGUUAAAGGGGUGCGCAGGCGGUCUGUUAAGUCAGCGGUCAAAGCCCGGGGCUCAACCCCGGCCCGCCGUUGAAACUGGCAGUCUCGAGUUGGAGAGAAGUAUGCGGAAUGCGCGGUGUAGCGGUGAAAUGCAUAGAUAUCGCGCAGAACUCCGAUUGCGAAGGCAGCAUGCCGGCUCCACACUGACGCUGAGGCACGAAAGCGUGGGUAUCGAACAGGAUUAGAUACCCGGGUAGUC